rnacentral:rRNA from 14 species
UCGAGCAGAGACGAAAGUCGGUCAUAGUGAUCCGGUGGUCCCGCGUGGGUGGGCCAUCGCUCAACGGAUAAAAGGUACGCCGGGGAUAACAGGCUGAUACUGCCCAAGAGUCCAUAUCGACGGCAGUGUUUGGCACCUCGAUGUCGGCUCAUCUCAUCCUGGGGCUGGAGCAGGUCCCAAGGGUAUGGCUGUUCGCCAUUUAAAGUGGUACGCGAGCUGGGUUUAGAACGUCGUGAGACAGUUCGGUCCCUAUCUGCCGUGGGCGUUGGAGAUUUGAGAGGAGCUGCUCCUAGUACGAGAGGACCGGAGUGGACGAACCUCUGGUGUUCCGGUUGUCACGCCAGUGGCAUUGCCGGGUAGCUAUGU